rnacentral:rRNA from 1 species
UACAGAGGUCUCAAGCGUUGUUCGGAUUCAUUGGGCGUAAAGGGUGCGUAGGCGGCAUGGUAAGUCGGAUGUGAAAUCCCGGGGCUCAACCCCGGAACUGCAUUCGAUACUGCUGCGCUAGAGUACUGGAGAGGAGAUUGGAAUUUACGGUGUAGCAGUGAAAUGCGCAGAUAUCAGGAGGAACACCGGUGGCGAAGGCGGAUCUCUGGGCCAUUACUGACGCUGAGGAGCGAAAGCGUGGGGAGCGAACAGG